rnacentral:rRNA from 1 species
ACACGCGUAUCCGAAGGACUCUCGGCAACGGAUAUCUCGGCUCUUGCAUCGAUGAAGAACGUAGCGAAAUGCGAUACUUGGUGUGAAUUGCAAAAUCCCGUGAACCAUCGAGUCUUUGAACGCAAGUUGCGCCCGAAGCCAUUAGGCUGAGGGCACGCC